AGGGUGUAAACGCUGCAGACUUGGUGUUGGAAGCCCUUUGGGGGCAUUCAGUGCCGGAGAGAAGUUGUUAAGUCUGCUACUUGGGGAGUACGUCCGCAAGGAUGAAACUUAAGGGAAUUGGCGGGGGAGCACCGCAACGGGAGGAGCGUGCGGUUUAAUUGGAUUCAACACCGUAAAACUCACCAGGGAAGACUGUUACAUGAAGGCCGAGAUGAAGACUCUGCUAGAUUUUCAGAGAGGAGGUGCAUGGCGUCAGUGACU
rnacentral:rRNA from 1 species